UACGUAGGGUCCAAGCGUUAUCCGGAUUUAUUGGGCGUAAAGCGCGUGUAGGUGGUUUUGUAAGUCUUGUUUUAAAGCUCUGAGCUCAACUCAGAAUCUGGACGAGAUACUUCAAGGCUAGUGGUCAGCAGGGGCUAACGGAAUUCCCGGUGUAGGAGUGAAAUCCGUUGAUAUCGGGAGGAACACCAAUGGCGAAGGCAGUUAGCUAGGCUGAUUCAGACACUGAGAUGCGAAAGCGUGGGGAGCGAACGGG
rnacentral:rRNA from 1 species